rnacentral:rRNA from 1 species
GAUGAACGCUAGCGAUAGGCUUAACACAUGCAAGUCGAGGGGUAACGUGUUGGAAGCUUGCUUCCGAUGACGACGACCGGCGGAUGGGUGCGUAACGCGUAUGCAACUUGCCUCACAGUGGAGAAUAACCCGGAGAAAUCCGGACUAAUACUCCAUACACUCUUAAGUACGCCUGUACAUGAGAGGAAAGAUUUAUCGCUGUGAGAUAGGCAUGCGUCCUAUUAGGUAGUUGGUGAGGUAACGGCUCACCAAGCCGACGAUAGGUAGGGGUGCUGAGAGGUAGAUCCCCCACAUAGGGACUGAGACACGGCACAAACUCCUACGGGAGGCAGCAGGGAGGAAUAUUGGUCAAUGGAGGAAACUCUGAACCAGCCAAGUCGCGUGAAGGAAGAAUGUCCGUAGGAUUGUAAACUUCUUGAGCGAGAGAGUAAGGACGUCAACGUGAUGGGAGUUUGAAAGUAGCUCGAGAAUAAGUAUCGGCUAACUCCGUG